rnacentral:snoRNA from 2 species
GUCUCCGAUGAUAGAACAAAAUGAUAUAACUUUCGUUCUUCUGAGUUGUUUCUAUGCGGAAGAAAAUUAUUGGAGACCUGAACUGAGGAGAC